CCCUCGCCCUGCGGAGACGGUCCCCGCGGAAGGCGGGCGAAGCCGGGCGCCCCGUCCUAAGCCGGGUUUUUCUAUUACGAGCGCUUCGCCCAAUCAAGCGCCACUUCGGGUGGAUUUCUUGGGGCGACGUUUUGUCGGCGGCCUCCGCUGAUUCCGCAGACCCCACCCCCUCCAAUGAAGCCUGGGGCGCCGGGAGGGUUCCUCUGAGUCCACACCCCGCUCCGCCGCCGCUUCCCUGGGAACGAGGGCCACCAUGCCGGCGAACUUCCCGGGGACGCCCCGCUGCUCCUUCCGCGCGCUGCCUUUCCUCUUCGGCGCGGCCGCCCUGCUGGGGCUGCUGCCGGUGCUUCGGAGCUCCGGCUCGCAUACCCCCGGGGCGGUCAUUCGGACAUCUUACUCCAACUUAGUGACCGAGGGCAUCACCUCCGCUCCGCCGGUUCCCGCGGAGAGCCCCCCCGGCUCCGGGCACCCCAAGAACGUUUCCACCGAUGGGCACGGCAAGCAUCGGAAAGCUUUUCCGGUCCUGAGCGUCGAGUAUGGUCGCGUGCGCUUGCCCUUCGAGAUUGCCCUCUGGAUCCUGCUGGCCUGCCUGAUGAAACUGGGGUUCCACGUGAUUCCAACCAUUUCCAGCAUAGUUCCUGAGAGCUGCUUACUCAUUGUCGUAGGACUGCUGGUUGGUGGGCUCAUUAAAGCCGUGGGGGAAAAACCCCCAGUUCUAAAUUCAGAUGUCUUCUUCCUCUUCCUUCUCCCACCCAUCAUCCUGGAUGCUGGCUACUUCUUGCCUUUGCGCCAAUUCACCGAGAACUUGGGCACAAUCCUGAUUUUUGCCGUGGUUGGGACUUUAUGGAACGCUUUCUUUGUGGGGGCUCUGAUGUAUUUUGUGUGCCAGAUGGGUGGCCCUCUUUUAUCCAACAUUGGCCUCCUGGACAACCUGCUUUUUGGCAGCAUCAUCUCAGCAGUAGACCCUGUGGCCGUGCUGGCUGUAUUUGAGGAGAUUCACAUCAAUGAACUUUUGCACAUCUUGGUGUUUGGCGAGUCAUUGCUGAAUGACGCGGUUACUGUGGUUCUCUACCACCUUUUUGAAGAGUUUGCCACCUUUGAACACGUCACCCUUACGGACAUCGUCCUGGGCUUCCUGAGCUUCUUUGUGGUGUCCCUGGGGGGCGUCUUUGUCGGGGUUGUCUAUGGCAUCAUCGGAGCCUUCACCUCCCGCUUCACCUCCCACAUCCGCGUCAUUGAACCUCUUUUCGUCUUUCUUUACAGUUAUAUGGCAUAUCUGUCUGCAGAACUCUUCCACCUUUCGGGCAUCAUGGCGCUGAUUGCUGCUGGGGUGGUGAUGCGCCCUUAUGUGGAGGCCAAUAUCUCCCACAAGUCCCACACCACCAUCAAAUACUUCCUGAAGAUGUGGAGCAGCGUCAGCGAGACACUUAUUUUCAUCUUCCUUGGUGUCUCCACCGUGGCCGGGAACCACCAGUGGAACUGGGCCUUCGUCAUUUGCACUCUGAUUUUCUGCUUGAUCGCCAGGGUUUUAGGUGUCCUGGGGUUGACGUGGUUCAUCAACAAAUUUCGCAUUGUGAAGUUGAGCCCGAAGGAUCAGUUCAUCAUUGCCUAUGGUGGCCUGCGGGGGGCCAUUGCCUUCUCUCUCGGCUACCUCCUGGAACAUCAUCAUUUCCCCAUGCGAGACAUGUUUCUCACAGCAAUCAUCACUGUCAUAUUUUUCACAGUCUUUGUGCAGGGCAUGACCAUCCGCCCUCUGGUGGACCUCCUGGCUGUGAAAAAAAAGCAGGAAACUAAGCGAUCCAUUAAUGAGGAAAUUCACACCCAGUUCCUGGAUCAUCUCUUGACGGGGAUUGAGGAUAUAUGUGGCCAUUAUGGACACCACCACUGGAAGGACAAGCUAAACCGUUUCAACAAGAAAUAUGUGAAGAAGUGCCUGAUUGCUGGGGAAAGAUCGAAAGAACCCCAGUUGAUUGCCUUCUAUCAUAAGAUGGAGAUGAAGCAAGCAAUUGAGCUGGUGGAAAGUGGUGGGAUGGGCAAGAUCCCCUCUGCUGUCUCCACUGUUUCGAUGCAGAAUAUCAAUCCGAAAACUUUGCCAGUGGAACGCAUUUUGCCAGCUCUGUCAAAGGAUAAAGAGGAAGAGAUUCGAAAGAUCCUGCGCAACAACUUGCAAAAAACCAGGCAGAGGUUGCGGUCAUACAAUCGACACACCUUGGUAGCAGACCCAUAUGAAGAAGCCUGGAACCAGAUGUUGCUGAGAAGACAGAAGGCUCGGCAGCUGGAACAGAAGAUGAACAACUAUCUGACCGUGCCGGCACAUAAAAUAGAUUCGCCAACCAUGUCAAGAGCACGCAUUGGUUCAGACCCUCUCGCUUAUGACCCGAAGCCAGAUUCUGAGAACCUCCCUAUUAUAACCAUUGACCCAGCAUCCCCCCAGUCUCCGGAGUCUGUUGACUUGGUGAACGAGGCACUGAAAGGGAUGAACCACCUUCCACCCUCCCCGGAGGAAGAUGAAGAUGAGGAGGGGCUGGUAAUGCGGGUCAAGGAGCCUUCCUCUCCAGGCACAGAUGACGUUUUUACUCCUGGAACAGGCGACAGUCCCAGCAACCAGCGGAUUAUGAGAUGUCUGAGUGAUCCAGGGCCUCGGCCAGACCCUGAAGAGGGGGAGCCCUUUAUCCCCAAAGGGCAGUGAGCCCUGAUAUGCACUACUCAACCUAACCUGUAGGGGAGGCCCUUGCACUCAUGUGCAGAUACACACACUCAUACACCCAGUUACGCCAGUCUCUUAUUUCUUGUGUCUUUCUCCUCUCUGUCUUUCUCUUUGGUGUGGGAACUUUGCUAGAAGGCAGAAGAGAGCAUCUAUAUGGAACAUACUUUGUGACCAGAGGCCAUAGGUCUAGAAUUAACUCAGAUUCCAUAUUUGGGGUUGGGAAUGCCAGUCAUCCUAUCCAGAGAAGAAUAUCUCCUCCUGGAUAGCAGUCUGGUGUGACCCGCUGCUGUCUUCUCCACUGGCAACUGCUCCUCCUUGUUUACUUCAGAGAAACAUCUUUGCUUUAAUUCCCCCCUCCCCACCUUUGAAACGCACCAGAAGAGCUGAGAACCUUGUGUGCUCAGAUGUAUCAGAUGGUGCUGCAUGAUGUCCUGCAUAUUCAUUGGAUGAGCAUAGGUACAUGUUUCUAAAGGAUUUUUAAAAAAAAUUUCUGAGCCACUGGUGCUUUAAACCAGGUGACCCUUGUGGCCUCCAUACAUUGUUUUCAUCCUCAGAGGUAAUGCCAUGUUUCCUCGAUCUUCUCUUCUAAGCCUUGGGGUUCAUGGGUUUCUUUUUGUGGGCUUCUUUUUGAAUCCCAUUAGCCAUCGAUAAUUAUUCUAAAUUUUUGGCGUUCCAAAUCUAGCAUCACAGGUUUCCUUUACUUUAUGGUUGUAAUAGCUUUAGUUUAUUCUCCUCAGUUUUAUUCAAUAAAAAUGAGCAGGUUAGCCAUAACCAAAGAUUGCUCUUACACCAAUAUUGGUAAGGAGGUCUGGCACAUGAUUUCCAACCCUCCAUUUGGCUCAUCAGAUUUCAUUCGACCAUUUGCAUGAGAAGCUGCUGUCCAAUUAAGGCUGUGCAAAUGUGUCGGGCUGCUAUUCCCAUGUGUCCAGCCGUGGAAGGGAAUUAUAGCGUUGCCGUCCAGCACAUCUGGAGGGCACCAGGUUGAGGAUCCCCCCCCAUGUGCAUCUUUCUGCUGACCCACUUCUCCUCCUCCUUGCCUGAAGCUAUCUUCUUUUUCACCUCAGGAUCUCAGUUAAAACAUGGGUUCACACAGCCCACAUGCAACUCCAGAAGCAUGUUUUGACCAAAGAUGAAUAUGUGGUUGUACCUAUUGGAUUGCUGGUUUAUUUUUACUUUGUUAGUUUUUAACCACAGGAUAAUCAUUUCUUGAAGAGAUUACAAACUCCGUGAAGGAUGCUAGGAUAUCAAUGAAGAACUGUCCUGCUGUGUUUGGGGACAGUGAUAAUAUGUUUAUGACCCACAUUCCCUCUCAUCUGAAAAGCUUCAAUUUUUCCCUGCUUAUCAGUUGAGAGCAUGAAACAAUAUUAGGCUACUGGUUUGGGCCUGACCAUCUAGCAAUAUUUGGCACAGAGAAGAUCACAUGCUACCUGGUCUUCUCUCCUUUUGCUAAUACCCAUCUCUGUCGGAAUAUCUUCCCCCAAAUCCUUCCCUUUUCUGGUCCUUGGUGCCGCCUGUGCUCGGCUCUUCAUCCAGCCUUCAUUGUCUAUAGCACAUUCCUCUAGUUUUAUUCCAUAAUGGGCAUCUUCUUUCUAGAAGGUGCCCUUCCCUUAUCAUUUCUGUUACCACCUGGGUUUCUGAGAAUCCAAUCUCUGUCUCCCCCCUCCCCCAAAGAAAUCAUGUUUGAAUAGUGCCAUGGUUAUUUGAAAGCCAGGAAUAAACAAACGUUUGUAUGUGACAGCAAGGCUCACAUUCCUGGAAAUGGCAGGAAUCAUGCAUUUCUGCCAGGGUGUGGGCUGUUACAAAGAGAAGGAGUGGCCUGCAGAGCAAACAGCUUCUUUGAGUCCUUUGCGGUGAGGAUGAUGGAGAAGUUGAAUGCUGGUUCUUGCUUGAUUCCUGUUUCAUUUUAGCCUAAAAUGGAAAGUUUGAAUGAGAUGGUAGUCAGCCUGGCCCAUACCACUUGAGGUUGCAGGUGGAGACAGUGGCAUGGUUGAAUGCUUCACUGCAUAGAGAAUAAAAGUUCUGCAUGUAGAACAUCAGUCUGUUGGGAAAGAAAGGUCUUCUAGCCUUGCUUUCUCCCUGUAACAUGCAAGACAUUUAAUUAUAUGGAACAGCAUUUAAUAAUGCCCCUUUCCAUAGUCAACCCAUUUGAUUAUGGUCCACAGUGAACUUGACUGUGUAAUCUGCCACUUGUUUAUUGUGGCCCUUAGCCAAAGAUAGCCUUUCUCGUUCAGGGUUUUAGAUGGUCCCUGUUGAGAAACCCUGAAGUAGAGAGUGGGAAAGUCCAGAAAAGAGGAAGAAUAUCUAUUUCUGCUUUCUCCAACAUAGUGCCUACCAGAUGUCUUGGACUGCAGGUCCCCCUAUUCUCAGUAUCAACCCAUGCUCUCUCUGACAAAAUACAGAGGGAAGGGGGUGGUCCAAAACAUCUGAAGGUUUCUAGGUUGGGAAAAGUUGCAAUAGAAUGUUUCUACUAGAUGAUGACCAUCUCUGGAUAGGGGGAUGUAGCACAGCUCUUCAAAGGGAGUAGGACCCCAAUCCUCUUAGGUACAGGGCUAUCAUCCUACCCUGGUUUAAUCCCUCAGUCCAGUUAUUCCAAAGUGGGGCAAGUUGCCUGCUGAUUUGUUUGUGUAGAGUGUGUACGUUGUAUGUCUGGUGAGGGAGCGGGGGUAUAAGAAGAUGGUAUAUGCUUGGUAUCCGUUCUGCACACUUAGAUACCAACUCUGGAUUACUGUUGAGUCUGUGAUCGAAACCUUCAAGGAUCGUACCCUGUUACAGAGCCAUGCUAGUGCCUGCUGAUUUUUUUUCAGUAGAACAUAGCCGUUCCUCUCCCAGCCCCCUGCCAUGAAGGGGGCGUUUCCUCCCUCGGCCCCUGUGCUGUGCCUUUUUAGCCAUACAGCGUCUGCCUGUGCAAAAUGUUGUUGUGCAAUUUGCCUGUUUGUCUGGCCCCCUCCCAGGCCCCUCUGGGAGGGCUCCUUGCACGCCUGUGCAUCCUCCCAUCGAAACGGCGAGUUACUCCCACCCCCCUUCAGUGCGUUUGCCCCUUCCUCUGGGCAGGAAGACCUUUGCACAGCACCGGUGGGUGGGUGGGCGGGCGGGGGGCAAAAAGGGAGCCCAGCCAGCUUGCUCCCCACCGUUCUGUAUUCUCUACUUAAGCUGGGCUUUGCCCCUGUUCUCUGCUUCGGGCCAAGCAGGAGUCGGAGGCCUUCCGUAGCCUGUAUGUGCUUUCAUGUACAAUACUGCCUCCACUAGGAGCUGUUUAAAGCAAUGAAUCUAUUGUACAAAACAAUAUGUAAAGAAGAGUCUUUUUACAUAAAUAUUCUAAUAAAUGAAUGUUUUAAUUUUUAA